rnacentral:lncRNA from 1 species
AAAAAACGAUUUAAAAAAGGAAUGUCAACAAAAAUCUAAGAAUAGUAAGUAUUGAUGUGUGAAGCAUUGUUGGUCUUCCCUGAGCAGUUGUUUGGUGACUUUACCUCCACAAUAGUUCUCCGUUCAUCCCCAUCCUGAGCUGAUGUGUUGUUCUCUUUAUAGUUCAUCAUCUAUCCCCAGCUAAGAAUUUAUGAUCUUCAUUUGCAUUUGUAUCUU